UACGAAGGGGGCUAGCGUUGCUCGGAAUGACUGGGCGUAAAGGGCGCGUAGGCGGCUUGCACCGUCAGAUGUGAAAUUCCUGGGCUUAACCUGGGGGCUGCAUUUGAUACGUGUGGGCUUGAGUGCGGAAGAGGGUCGUGGAAUUCCCAGUGUAGAGGUGAAAUUCGUAGAUAUUGGGAAGAACACCGGUGGCGAAGGCGGCGACCUGGUCCGUGACUGACGCUGAGGCACGAAAGCGUGGGGAGCAAACAGG
rnacentral:rRNA from 1 species